rnacentral:sRNA from 1 species
AGUUGCUCAUUCAAUUUUUUAUGUCGGCCCGCAAUUAGGUGGAAACAUGCCACAUAAGCCCAGAAUGAUGCCGAAGUAAGGUGCCUACCGUCCACUUAAUGAUACUCGCUUUCGGGCUUUAUCAAACACAGGGCGACACGUGGAGUGAGGCACCACCUA